GCACUCGUAGUUCAAUGGAUAGAAUAUCGGAUUCCGGUUCCGACGAUGCGAGUUCGAUUCUCGCCGAGUGUACUA
rnacentral:tRNA from 1 species